rnacentral:rRNA from 1 species
CGGCGGACGGGUGAGUAACGCGUGGGUGACCUGCCUCAUACAGGGGGAUAACAGUUAGAAAUGACUGCUAAUACCGCAUAAGACCACGGUACCGCAUGGUGCAGUGGUAAAAACUCCGGUGGUAUGAGAUGGACCCGCGUCUGAUUAGGUAGUUGGUGGGGUAACGGCCUACCAAGCCGACGAUCAGUAGCCGACCUGAGAGGGUGACCGGCCACAUUGGGACUGAGACACGGCCCAG